CCAGCCAUGCCGCGUGAGUGAAGAAGGCCUUCGGGUUGUAAAGCUCUUUCGGCAGGAACGAAAUGGUUCGUGCUAAUACCACGGACUGAUGACGGUACCUGAAGAAGAAGCACCGGCUAACUACGUGCCAGCAGCCGCGGUAAUACGUAGGGUGCAGGCGUUAAUCGGAAUUACUGGGCGUAAAGCGUGCGCAGGCGGUUUCUUAAGUCAGAUGUGAAAGCCCCGGGCUUAGCCUGGGAACUGCGUUUGAAACUGGGAGACUUGAGUGUGGCAGAGGGGGGUGGAAUUCCACGUGUAGCAGUGAAAUGCGUAGAUAUGUGGAGGAACACCAAUGGCGAAGGCAGCCCCCUGGGUCAACACUGACGCUCAUGCACGAAAGCGUGGGGAGCAAACAGGAUUAGAUACCCUGGUAGUCCACGCCCUAAACGAUGUCAACUGGUUGUUGGGGGAUUAACUCCCUUAGUAACGAAGCUAACGCGUGAAGUUGACCGCCUGGGGGGUACGGCCGCAAGGUUAAAACUCAAAGGAAUUGACGGGGACCCGCACAAGCGGUGGAUUAUGUGGAUUAAUUCGAUGCAACGCGAAAAACCUUACCUACCCUUGACAUGCUAGGAAGCUUGCAGAGAUGCGAGUGUGCCCGAAAGGGAACCUAGACACAGGUGCUGCAUGGCUGUCGUCAGCUCGUGUCGUGAGAUGUUGGGUUAAGUCCCGCAACGAGCGCAACCCUUGUCAUUAGUUGCUACAUUCAGUUGGGCACUCUAAUGAGACUGCCGGUGACAAACCGGAGGAAGGUGGGGAUGACGUCAAGUCCUCAUGGCCCUUAUGGGUAGGGCUUCACACGUAAUACAAUGGCCGGUACAGAGGGUUGCCAACCCGCGAGGGGGAGCCAAUCCCAGAAAGCCGGUCGUAGUCCGGAUUGUUCUCUGCAACUCGAGAGCAUGAAGUUGGAAUCGCUAGU
rnacentral:rRNA from 1 species